ACCUCCACACUUCUCUCACCCAUCACACAAUCCUCAAAACAGAGUAACCCAAAAAAACAGAGCAAUCUAAAAAAAAGUCUCAAGAAACCUCACUAAAAUGGGUUCAACGGCGGAGACACAAUUAACUCCGGUGCAAGUCACCGACGACGAAGCUGCCCUCUUCGCCAUGCAACUAGCCAGUGCCUCCGUUCUUCCGAUGGCUCUAAAAUCUGCUUUAGAGCUCGACCUUCUUGAGAUCAUGGCCAAGAACGGUUCUCCCAUGUCUCCGACCGAGAUCGCUUCUCAUCUUCCGACCAAAAACCCUGGAGCUCCGGUCAUGCUCGACCGUAUCCUCCGUCUUCUUACGUCUCACUCCGUUCUCACCUGCUCCAACCGCAAACUUUCCGGUGACGGCGUUGAACGGAUAUACGGGCUUGGUCCGGUUUGCAAGUAUUUGACCAAGAACGAAGAUGGUGUUUCCAUUGCUGGUCUUUGUCUUACGAGCCAAGACAAGGUUCUCAUGGAAAGCUGGUGAGUUUUCUUGAUAUGAGUUCUGACUUUUAAUAGAUCUUUAUGGUAAAUCAAGCUAGAAAAUUUCUGUUUUUGAUAAUGUUGUUUCAUAAGUUAUGUAUCUUGGUUGAUGUGAUUAAAAUACAAUUAUGCAAAGCUAAAGGUGAGAGAGAGAGGCACAAAGUGUCAAAGACAAUCAGACAAAUACAGUAUAGUCUAAAGUCUAAAACAUUUAUGUUAGGUUGUUCCAAUCAUAAGAGCUACAAGAAAAAACUUCUUUUUUUUGCAGAAAAUACAUAUUUUUCCUUCUUUUUUUUGUCUAGUUCAUGGCUUUAAAUAGAGAAGCUGUAAUCGUUCUUCCUAGUAUUGACUAUUGAGUAACAAAAUAAGGAAAUAGAAUAGCAACAUGAUUAGGAUCGAAGAGAACUGGUCUUCUGAUGAGCAACAAGAAAAAAAAAAAAUAGAAACCUUAUAAUCUGGUUUUGGUUUUAUUCAAUCGAACCGGCUGGUUCUCUUUGCGAACCGGCGGUUCUUUCUCAAACUAAACAAUCAACUUGACGUGGAUCUAGUUUAAUCACAAAGUAGAGUUCAAUCUUGUGAUCACUUUCAAAACAGAUUAUUAUAGUUAGUGAUAACCAAAAGUUGAUCUGGUUUAGAAUUUGAAGAGAAACUAAAAAAAAAAUUUAUGGUUAGGUAAUAAGAUUAAGCUUAAAGAGUGUAUGUGUGUUUUCUUAGACUCAUGCCAAAGAGACAUGUUUCAGGUACCAUUUGAAGGAUGCAAUUCUUGAUGGUGGGAUUCCAUUCAACAAGGCUUAUGGAAUGAGCGCGUUUGAGUACCACGGAACUGACCCUAGAUUCAACAAGGUCUUUAACAAUGGAAUGUCUAACCAUUCCACAAUCACCAUGAAGAAGAUUCUUGAGACCUACAAGGGUUUCGAGGGCUUGACUUCUUUGGUUGAUGUUGGUGGUGGCAUUGGUGCUACUCUUAAAAUGAUUGUCUCCAAGUACCCUAACCUUAAAGGCAUCAAUUUUGAUCUCCCACAUGUCAUCGAAGAUGCUCCUUCUCAUCCCGGUAUAUUAACAAUUACCUAACAUUUCACAAAAUCCGAUUUGCUUGGAAGAUUGGCGUCUUAUCGCUAAAUUAAUGCAGGUAUUGAGCAUGUUGGAGGAGAUAUGUUUGUAAGUGUCCCUAAAGGUGAUGCCAUAUUCAUGAAGGUUAGUAAAUAGUAAUUAACUAGGUUUUCUACUAAUUACUUAAACCGAAAACUCUUUGACUCUUUUUUGUCGAUUUCUCAUUGUUGUAACAGUGGAUAUGUCAUGACUGGAGCGACGAACAUUGCGUGAAAUUCUUGAAGAACUGCUACGAGGCGCUUUCAGAGGAUGGAAAAGUGAUAUUAGCAGAGUGUAUACUUCCAGAGACACCAGACUCAAGCCUCUCAACCAAACAAGUAGUCCAUGUCGAUUGCAUUAUGUUGGCUCAUUAUGGAGGCAAAGAACGAACCGAGAAAGAGUUUGAGGCAUUAGCCAAAGCAUCAGGCUUCAAGGGCAUCAAAGUUGUCUGCGACGCUUUUGGUGUUAACCUUAUUGAGUUGCUCAAGAAGCUCUAAAAGACCAUAAAAUGUCCCUUUAAAGAUGAUUUUAUAUGUAAACAUUAUCUCAUAUGUAAACUCUAAAAAUCUAUUACAAUUAACAUAAAUAUUUAAAUAUGGUUUACCUUCACAAAUUACAACAAUUUAAUAAGCUCUUUCUUUACAGCUCAUUUUGAAAAGAAAACAAAAAAAACUUUACAACAACUUGUGAGACUUGACUUGACCUAAUUUAUAUUUUUAAUCCAUUUAACUAAAUAUCUUAAGGAUAUUUUUCAAAACCAUUUCUCAUCCCUCUCUUAGUUGGCGGUAGUUAUGACCAAUUUGUAUCAUUGUUGAUAUGAACGAAAUUUAUUGAAGGUCUAUCUACUCUCAUUAUCAAUAUGACUCAUAAUAGACUUUAACUGAAUACAUCCACUGACAGUUGUUUGUUGAAAAAAUGUAUAAAUGUAUAAAUGUCCAACAUUGCUUAAAAAAAUUGGAUACAAAUAUAUAAAUGUCCAACAUUGCCUAAAAAAUUGGACAAUGGUUCAUAGUCAUACUAUAAAAAUAACCAAAAUGAUUCUGAAUACGAAUGAGUAUGAAGCUUGAUUUAUAGGGCGUCCCAAAUUAAAAUUGUUAUCCGGUUUACUCUAGUUCUUUAUUUUAAAAAACUGAAACUUUUAAAAAGUUUCAAAAUAUUAUAAAUAUUUAAAUUUUAUUAAAACUUAAAUAUUAUAAUUUUUUAUAAAGUUUAACUUUAUAAAAAAAAUUAAAUAUUUAAAAAACUAAGACUUUUAUGAAGUUUAAACAUUAUAAAUAUUAAACUUAUAAGAAUUUAUAAGAAGUUUCAACAUUAUAAAUAUUUAAUUAAAAAUAUUAUUAAAAAGAAAAUUAACUAAAUGCUGUUUAAUUUUACGAGACGGGGUUAUAUGGUGGGACGGAUUUGGGUCGAUAUUAAUACGGAACAGUAUACCACUGGUGAAUCCUAGAAUUAAAAUUAAAAAUAUAAUUAUAUAAUUUUAAACACUAAACAAACCAAAACACUAUUUAACAAAACAAGAAUAACUUAAAUUUAAAAUUUUUAGUUCAAAAAAAUUGACCCGCAAUAUACCGCGGGGUAAAUUUUUUUGAUACAAAAUAAUAUCAAAUUAUUACAAUAGUCCAUGAUUAUAAAUGCUUGCCAAUAUUAACACUAUAUCAUUUCUACACCUACAAAUCUUCUAAGUACCUUAAUACAAAUCAACACAUUUAAGUAACAAAUACAACAACUCAAAAACAAUAUUUAUAUAUUUCAACUAUAUUAAUUAUAACAUAAAAUAAUGAAAUGAGAAAUUAUUUUUUUAUAUUAUGAAUUUAAAAAUACAAUAAAUUAUAAAUUAUAAUAAAUAUAUAAAAUAUAUUUUUGCUCCGCGGUGUACCGCGGGUUAAAUCCUAGUUAGUAUUAUUAUUAACACUAUAAUUCACUAAAUAUGAAUAUGAAAUGACUUGAAAUUUCACAAUUCAUUCUAAACAUUAAGUAAAUUAUAGCUCAAAGUUAUUUCUAAAUCCAUGUGUUUGAAGACAUCUGAAUUGUGGCAGCCAAACUUUUAACUGUAUGAUUGUUUCAUACAUGGGCACUUUUUUUUUUUUUUUUUUUUUGAUAACUCAGGUGAUCUUAAAGGCUUUCUAGGCCCAAAGACUAAUCCUGGGGUCCGGGGAAACCAUGUUAGAAUUCGAACCCCGGUGGUCAAUGCUACUCGAACCCAGGUGGCGGAGACUUUUCUCUCCUUUACCAUUGGACCAAGGCGACUUGGUUUACAUGGACACUCUUCAGAUCGAUAAAAACAAGUUUUCAAAAUUGGUUUUAAUGUACGGAAUGUUGCGGUUGCAAUUUGAUGCUAAUUAAUCGGAGAGAGUAUUUAUGAGACUAGAUUACUCGAUCCCACACAUGAUUGAACCAUGUGGACUACUUGCUUAGUUUUUGUGGGGAACAUUUUUUUUUUUGUUAUCUGAAAUUAAAUAUAACUUAAAAGAACCAUUCCUGAGGAACAUCUACGAUGUGUCAAAUGUAUACUGAGAUUUUUCAAAUACAGAAGAUUUAAAUCAUCGGUAUAACUAUUAGUAUUGUGAACAUCAUCAACAUUAAUUGAUAGGAAGUAGAAAGUAUCUAUAAGGUCAAUAGUCAACGUUCUACAAAAAAUACAAGUCCCAAAACAGACCCAUUAGAACAUUAUUAUUCCAAGCCUCUGUUUUUUUGAACUGCUUAGGGAUUAAGUAGGGCUGGGCACAAGCCAGGUACCCGGGUUUUUGGUUAUACCCGUGACCCGACCCACCCCGUCCGGGUAUCUACAAAAUAGACCCGUACUUGACCCGCCCUAAACAAGUACUUGCAGUAACGGGUACUUGUCAAAAUUUGACAAACCUGCGAGUUACCCGCCUUGGCUUGGUACCCGUAAUAUUGAAAGUUUUAUGGGCUUCGAGUGGUAAAAGCCUACAAAUUUUGUUAUCUUAAAUGAAUCAUUUUUCUCUUUAUAUAAGGAAAAGUUUCUAGUUGUCGUACAGCUUUUGUCGAUGUGGGUUAAAGGUAACUAACAAAAAAUUAACUUAGUAUUUUGGGCUUCGUUUAUGGGCCUUUUUCUGAAUAAGGUAAUUAAAACAAGUCCAAUUUGUGUGUUUGUUUAUUAAAAAGGCAAAUUCAAAGAUUUUUUUUCUCUGGAAACUCAGAUAUGGAAUAUAUUUUCACAUUUUGGCACUAUCAAAACAGGUAACGGGUAGAAACGAGGCAAGUAACCGAAUUAUUUUUAGUACUUGAUCCUUGCCUUGUACUUGCGGGUAUUCAAAAUUACUUGUUACUCGGCUUGUCUAUUACGGGUACUUGCUUUUUCAAGGCGAAUACGGGGUAAGUAGCGGGUACGGGGCAAGUAACGGGUAUUUGUGCCCAGCCCUAAUUAAGAGGAAAGAGCAAUGCAGAUAAUCUUGCUUUCUCCGUUAACCUUCUGUUUAAGCCGAUAACAAAGAACAUGAGAAGAGUGAUCUUCCGAUUAAAAGUGAAGAAACAAACACAUUAUGCAACUUCUUAAGCCAUCUCAUUCCUUUGAAACACUAUCAAUAGCAAAAAGCCUAAGACAUUAAAGGUAGCAACUUGGGAAGCAAAAUUCUCAAUAACUUGUCAAGAAAUCUACAAAUACAACUUCAAAGCGUAAUAAACAAUCUCAUACUAAGGAAAUGUCAUUACGUCACAUUACUUCUUCAUAACCUAAACAUAAUCUAUUAGUCUACCUUACUGAUGAAGUCAUAAGAAAGAGCUCUAAUCCUUCGAUGCAACCAGAUUUUACUUUGUCCUACACAAAUUCCACGAAGUAGAGUCAUAAGCAUUGCAAUGUGAAGUCGAUAUAGUCCACUCUGCACAAGGAGCAGGCUUAUCGCACACUGCAUACAGAGCCGGCCACAAGUACAAGCUGGGCAAGCCCAAGCUUGCGCCCCCGAAAAUAUAUAAAUUUUGUAGGCCCAAAUAUUUUGUAACUAUUUUGUAGUCUAGUGGUAGCGUCUUGUUUGUUUUGGCCCUCAUGUCUUGGGUUCGAGUCUCCAUCUUUGUUGUUUUUUUUUACUUAAAAUUUCACUUUUUAGAAAAAAAAAAAAAAAAUUCUAGAAAACUCAAUUAACCUAUCCAGUUUUAUGUUUGGUUUAAUCAAAAUUUUUUUUUUUUUUUAAACAUGUGAAAGUAGCCUUUUUUUUGUCGCUUAUAGUCUUAUAAAAUAUAGGGACAGCUCUGACUGCAUAGCAAGACAAACAUCAAACACAAAGUUAUUCCAUUUCAUAUAUCAAAUCCACAAAGAAAAAGUGUUAAAAUUACCAAAUCACAAUGGCUUGGAUUAGGAGUUGAUCCAAAUGGAAAAUUCAAACAUAAAUGUCUUGGAUGUGGAUAAUCUCUACAAGCCACCUAUCAAAUCAUAUGAAAUAAAUUCCAUCAGAAAUAUCAAAUUUUGAAAUAAACCCUAAUUUAAAAACCUUAAAUUUCAAAGCUCAAACCUGGCCUGUUUCAUGGAUAAUAGCUAAAUCUUUAUCACCUUCAUGAUGAUCAUCAUCGGUAAAGGUGAGUUUUUUAACGUUAUAUUUAUUCAUAUAUUUAUCAUAUGCAUGAAAACAAAAUGUAGUAGAUUAUUUAUUUGUGAAUUUCAUGUCGAGCAACCACCAAAAGGAUACAACUCAUUUCUAUUUAUUUUUACGUUAUAAUUCAUUUAGGUGUCAAAGGUAACAUGUUACAUCCAUAAACACUAUUAUACUUAUUCUUUUAUGGAUAAUAUAAGGCACGUUCUGUGAUCAUGACGUAGAACACGGUAGUAGGUAGGACUUUUUAAAAAAAAAUCUCAAUCAGACUUUGAAAAUUGAGAUACCGUUUUUUUUUUUUUUUUUUUUUUUUGUCAAUGAUACCGUUUUUUUCUUUCAAAUUGCUAUUAUAGACUUUUUCAGAUUAAAGCUAUACGUCAAAACCUGUCAUGUUUUAAUUUUACUAUGAUUAAGAAAAUUAAUCAUCAAAGUAAACUACUAUGCAAGGGUCAUUACUUCGAUGAUAUAAGUACACUGGAUAAUAACUUGAACUGAUAAUUUAAGUAGAUCAUGAUCUAUUGGAUAACUUCGUUGAAAAAUAGUAUUUUAUUUUUCAGCUGUCCUUUUUAUGUAAUACUAUUGAUCUUCAUAAACCUUAUUAGAUGUUUAUGUUUUCGUAAAUUAUAAAACUUUCUAUACAAAAGUCAUUUCUAAGCAUUGACAGAUUACUCUAAAACUGGAAACUGGUGUAUAUGACAGACAGCAGAACCGUUCCUAGAAGUAUAAAGACCAGGUGCUAAAAAGAUUAUUCAAAUCAUAUAAAACAAAACUUAAGUAAAAAUAACCACUAUCAUCCUAAAUAGAUAAAAACCUAGAGUAAAAAUCAAAGAUUAAUUCUAAAUCAUAUUUUUUCUUUCUUUUGCUGUUACAAAAUUAUCAACCAAGCUUUCAAAAUUAAAAUGUUUAACCAACUCCCUUUUGAUAGAUAAAAUAGCCAAGUCACUUAAUCUUUUUUGUUACAUACUUGAGAUUAGUUUUACUUUCAAUUUUAUAUUCUAAAUAAAAAUAAAAAUCUAAAGGCUAGUAUUAGAUGAAACAACAUUAUUAUGAAGAAAGUUCUUACCAAUUGAUUUUUUUUUUUUUUUCUUUUCUUACCAAUUGAUUACGAAAACAAAACGCCGUCGAUUGUAAUUGUAAGUCAACAAUGAUUAAGAAACUUACUAGUGUUUGGUUUUCUAUUAGACUUUUAACUAAUUGAAAAAUAUAUUUGUUUAACCCAAAAUUGUCACAUUUUUCUACCUAAGAAAUUAAUAGCCUUUGAUUUAUUUUUGCAGAAAAAGGCCGUAGGCCAAAGUUUAUUUUCUAAUGCCUUAGGCACGGGCAUUGACAGAUUACUCUUAAACUAUCUCUGGUAUAGUCUCAUUCGAGGAUUGUCAUAACACGAUGCUCUUUAUUGAAUUAAAUAUUACUUUAUAAUGUCUUUCAUAUAUAAAACAUUUCCGUAUUUUAACGUAUCCAUUUCAACGGAAAAAAAAAAGCAUUAAUAAAUUUUAAAUAUUAAAUAAAUGUUGUACUUUAAUUUAAAGAUUAAAUUUUUAUUAAAAAACCAAUUUCUUCGGUGAAUAAACUUAUCAAUUUCAACGGACAUAAAUAAGUAAAUGUACUACUUUUAUUUUGUGCAAAAAAUCCAUAUUUACUUAUUAGUCGAAACUAAUAUUAAAGAGUUGUACCUGAGAGACUUGUGGUCCUAUAACAGUUUGUGUUUGUUAGUUUAAGGCAGUGAGAAGUGUUGGAGAUGAUGUGUUCACAAUGAACAUCUUUCUAAGGAGUAGGUGAGAUGCGUCUCUUUUGUAACACGAAAUUCUACCCUAUCACAACGUUACACGUGUCUCGUUUGAACAGAAUCCAAUUGUUUUAUCAUUUUAUAAGAAGAUCAAAUUAUUGUCAAUUUAUUUGUCUUGUGGUUGUGGUUGUGGUAGGUGAGAAAUAUCAAAUAUUUUUCUUGGUUAAACAAUCAAGGGUAAUUAUCAUAUAUUAGUAUGAAUUCGUUUUGAUUUGUUUUAGUCACAAAAAGAAAUCACCUUACUCAAUUCAAUUGCAAAGUUAUUUGAAGAGUACAUACAUAAAAUCUUAAAGGUUCAUAAAAUGCAAUAAAUAUGUAUGUAUGUAUUCGUGAUUGCUAUUCUUAUUGAGUUAUUGUUAAUGUACGUUAGAGCAUAUAAGAAAAUUAAAAGUGAUGAUCUUGAAAGUGAAGUACAUCGAAGCUGCUUUAGACCAUAUUUAUCGGGGCAACUAUGGCCCUGUUUUAAGAGUUUUUAAAUAUUAAAACUGAUGAAAAGUUGGGUUUGGGCUAGGAACGCGUUCUCAUGCGAGAACAGUUCGGAGCCAUGUUCGUGUAUAUGUGGCAGGCCGUCAUUGGUCAGGAGAUGUGGAAAUGGAAAAAGUCUAGGCUUUUCUUUCUUUCCUUCUCUUUCCUCUUACAUUAUUAAUAUUUUUUCUCUCUUAACAUCAAUCUUCAAAUAUGCACUCUUGCAUAUGUCCUGGGAGUUCUCUUUCACAAUUCAAACCAUGUUUUAUUGAUUUAACUUAGAACAUUCUAUAAAAAUAAAAAGUCGUAUAGAAAAUUAAGAUGGUGUAAAGGUAUUACGAUAAAUAAUUUUUAAAAUAACUUAAGUAUUACGUAUAUGCCGUGUUCAAAAAAUCGCUAGGCGCUAGUCGGGCGGUGAGGGUGCGCCUAGCGCCUAGCAAGAAAAUCGGGGAUUACACGGGGAUUAAUCGGGGAUUAGUUUUAGGGCUAUUUAAUAUUUUAAAAACAUAUUAAUCCAUUAUAAUUAAGUAAUUUAUAUAAUAUUGUUUUUAAAAUUGUAUUAAACACACGAAAACAAGAUUUAAAUUCAAAUUUAUGAUUUUUAUACAAAUUACGAACAUAAGUAGGACGUUUUGAAUUUUAGAUGAAAAAAAAAGUAAAAAAAAAAAAAAAUGGGCUAGGCGCUGUCUAGGCGAUUUUUCUCACCGAUUUGGACAAAAUCGCCGCGGUGCUCCUCCGAUCAGUGCCUAGGCGGCCGCCUAGGCGACUAGGCGGCCGAAUUUUAGAAUAGGGCGUAUAUGUACCGUAAAAGAAAAAAGGAAUAAUCUUGUGCCGAACUCAAUUUCAUAAUAAAAAAACAUAUUAUAUGAAUUUAAUUAAAAGCAUAUUUAGGUAAAACUUUUCAAUCCUUUCUUAUUUUCUUUUGAAGUAGCUGACAUUCUAUGAAAACAAAAUGUCAACGAAAUGAUUUAACAAUGAAAAAAUUGAUACGAUUUUAAGCAAAAACUGACAAUCAAUUAAGAACUAGUGUGACGUCUCGGUCCUACUCACCAAACUAUCUGUCCGCUUGCAUUGCACAGUCCUCUCAAGUCUCAUUUUUUUCCUUUAUUAAUCUCUUUGUUUAUCGAUUAUAAUCUGAAGACGAUAUUCGAUUAAAAGUUUGAUCGCUCUAUAAUUUAUAUUUAAAACGUUAGGUUUCAUAUAGAAUCAAAGUUGUAAUGAAAGUUGUAAUGACGAAAAAAAAAAAAUAUGACGACCCAUAAAAUACUUUAGACUGUCAAGUCACGUGUAUUGACCAUCCACCCACACAUUCUUAGUUAACAUAAUUUCAUUUUUUUGUCCUAAAUAUAUCUGCUAAUUACAAUUUUUUUUUCGUUAGAAGAUUUUCUAUGAUACAAAAGAAUUUACAAAGUCCUAUACAAAACCGGAUAAACCGAAAUUACAAAUUUUAGUAUCGUACUUUUUUCUAAAUUAGUUUUAUUUAAAUGGACAUAUCUUACAAAUUCACAAAUACAGAAUGAGGAAGAAUUAGGUUAAACAAGGGAUAUUUUUUGGGAUCAAAUCCUCGUGGUUACCGGUUGCAGAUGUCGAUCAAGACUCCAGUGAACACAAGGCUCGCUAAUUUGCGAGAUGACGACGACUUCGAGCUCCUUGACCGGAGUGUUCUGUUACCUUCUCCGAGCUGAUCCGUCGAAAAACCAAACCUUCAACAAGCCUUCCGAAAAAUCAAACCUCCAAUUAGCAGGAUCUCCAUUGACAAAUCUCCGACCUAGCAAAACGCCAAACUCAAAUCCAAUACCUGACAAGCGUUACCUGCUCCUGCUUCUUUUUUGAGCCAAGAACACCUUCAAUCCAGUCCGGUGAAUGCUAAUCGAUGCCACUAAAGAGAGAUGAUGGCUUACUAUCUCUCAAAAGCCAAAACCUACGGCAAUCCAUAUAAAAUUCGAGGAUUUACAGUUAAUCACCGAGACACGCAACGAAACUUUCCAAACCCUCGACGAUUUAAAUUUAAAUAAAAUUUAUAAAAAAUAAUAUAGUACAACAUAUAAUUUUGUAUGCUUCUAUAUAGUAUAACAUAUUAGUUAUCAACACUAUUCACCAUUUAAAAAGUUAAUGUCCGUUAAAUCUGAUGUUUUAAAAAAUAGAAUGGCAAAGUUAAAGUAAUUUUUUUUUUUUGAACACGUAGUUAAGUUAAAGUAAUUUAAUUUUAAGAACCACGUAGCAAAACAUGUGAGGGGUAAACAAAAUGUUUAUCCGAAACAAUAAAAGAAUACUUAAAAAAAGAAAAACAUCACAUUCUUUAUCCAGCACCUUGUGACUUGUGUGUUUCACUUAUGGACUUUUAUGUCUUUUUAUUAUACCUUAUGGUUAUUCUCUUGUUUUGAAAUUUAAUAUGCUAUUUUCUUAAUUUCUUUUAUCAGAUUUGCUUAUUCACUUAAAUCACCCAAAUUUUAUUUACUCUUUUUCUGUUAAUUCAAGAAAAUCUGUUAUAUCUAUAUAUACAUUUUUGGAUCAUAAUUAGCAAAUAAAUCCUGAAGUUGAGAAGUAUUUACAAUGACAUGCCAUUAGCAUUAAUUAUUUAGAUUUAUUUUAUUUAAGUAAAGAUUUUGAAAUCAAAUAUGUUCUCAACAAUUUACCAAAAAUCUCUACUCAAUCUUUUUAAAAAUCUCGACUUAGUUAACUUCUGAUUUUUAUCUGCAAAAAAAAUAAAAUAAUUGUAACGAGUGAUAUAAAAAUCGAGAAUGUUGAUACUACAAUUUCUUCUACUUCUUUUUUUUAUAUAAUGAAAAUUAUUUUUUAUGGAUAUUUUCUUAAAACUCUAAACAAAACAAAGGGUUUCAAAAGAUAGCUUCUCUUUUGGCGAGUCGACCCGCAAACCCGCAACUCUCUACAGGCUUAUCCGCAUGAACCUGCGACCCGUAGUGGAUAAAAAUAUUAUUCAAAAAAAUAACAAAUGAUGUUUAAUUUUACGGGACGGGGUUAUAUGGUGCAACGGGUUUAGAUCAAUAUUAAUAUUAAACAAUAUACUAUGGAUGAAAUCCUAGAAUUAAAAAUCAAAAUUUAAUUAUAAAAUCAGAAACACUAAACAAAAUAAACAAUAUUAACAAAACAAAUACAAUUUAAAAUUUUGCAAAAUAAUUUUUUAGUUAUAAAAAAAUCGACCCGCGGUGUACCGCGGGGUAAAAUCUAGAUUUGGAAGUUUAAGGAAGGAAUUUUUUUUAAAAAAAAUAAUAGCUCCGCGGUGUACCGCAAGAAAAAUCUUUCUCCUAAACUGAGGCAAGAAGAAGAAGAAAACCAAAUGUCGUUUAAGUGUAUAUAUAGAUAUACCAUUUAAACCUAAAACACAAUUCAUAUACUCAAAACUAUUAAUAUAGACAUAUAGAUGGUACAUUUAUAAAAUAGGUCAAAAUAUUAUAGUAUACUCUCUAUUAAUAAACAAAAAUAAUUAUAUUUAGAUUUUUUUAAAAAUAAUUAUAACCCCGCGGUGUACCGCGGGUUCAAAUCUAGUUAUAAAAAUAAAACCUAAUAGUACACCUAUGAGGCUAUGACAAACCUAAACAAAUUUUAUGAUAAACUCAUUGCAGCUUGGUUAAAAAUAAGGGAUUAUUGUGAAAAAUGCCACUUUUGGGCCAAAACUUGUGGCAUUGCCACUUUCAGAAUGGGCUUUUGGAUCUGCCAUUUUUAGGUUUGUAAAAAGACGUUUCUAUCCUUAUGGUGUUAAGCGGGAGGGCAGCGAUUUUGAAUCGCGUUGUUGGUUGCAGCAACUCACCGGCUGUUCACCGAUUUGACAGUCGGAACUGUAUAAUCUCGCAUUUGUGCGGCUGAGAUUUCGUAGGGUUUUAAUUUUUUGUGGAUCUGUUCAAGGGUGACCUAAAAAUGAGGAUAUUAUAUAGUUCCUGGGUCAUGGUGGACAAUGGCAAGAACUUUGAGCCAACUGAAGUAGUUUACAACAACUGGUCGCGAACACAAGUAGGAGGACGUCAAUUACGAAAUGGAUCCGCAGGUGAAGCCUUAUGCUUAGUUUUCUGGUAUAAUAUGUUGAUGCAUUUGUAGGUGGCAUUUGUUUUCUCUGUCUUAGUAUUGUAGUGACAUAGAUAGGGGAUAAUGGUCAGUUCCUUUGUAUAUUGAUAUGUUUAAGGUUAUCUCGACCCUUUUUUGCUAGUUGGUACAAUAUUCGGUUCCAACUGUUGAUGCAAUUGUGUUUUAUGCUUCACUGUUGUUUACUAUGAUGGAAAGUACUGACCUGCCUGUUACAACUUGUCAUUAUGUAGGCAGCGGAUGUGCCUGUCUUUGUCAUUGCUGGUAGCUGGGAAUGCUCUGAGAAUGGUAUAUGGGAUUUCUACAUUGCUAAAGAAUGUUAUGCGCAAAGUAUAUCUAUGAAUCGAGAUAUGACCUUCGAGGAGCUGCUGUUGACUGUGCGUACAGAGUUUGAGCUUGAUGGCCUCGGUUUGAAACCGAAGUUAAGCUAUUGGCUUCCAAGUCAGCUUUCUGUGUUUGCAGUGAAUUCAAGACCUCCAGUCAUUAUCACCAGCAACAUGAGUUUAAGGAACUUCUUGAAUGUAAAAGAAACCGCAGAGCAUCUCAAUUUGUUGCUCUCUCUUGAACCUGAAAGUGCUGAUGCUGGUUCGAGCAGGCUGAGGGAACAUUGUUCUGUUCCUGCAGCAAAAGCGAAAGAUAUUUGUGGCGACGAUACUGGUGCUGCUUAUGCUGCGAUGGUGCCAACUAAUGCAGAAAUGCCUCAGAGACAAAACAUAGGUAGCAACAGUGGCAGUCGAGUUAGGAAAAGGCUAUUUGGGGACAAUGACGCGUCUUGUUCAAAUGAAGCAAUCAGGCUUGUCUCUGUUGAUACUAGUGAUACUCACAUGAUCAGACUUGCAGAUCCUGAUACACCAUCUCUGUCAGCUCAAUCUGAAGACAGCAAUGCAGCUGCGGCUGCUGUUGUGCAGCAUAUUUCUUCUGAUGACGAUGAUGAUUUCUUAACAGAGAUUGAUACAAUUGAAAAAGGGGAGAAGGAUCUUCGGAUUUGUAAGGGUAAAGGGAAGUGUGAAGACAGUGGGGAUGCUAUGUUAAAGAGUAAAAAUGUUGAUUAUUUCACAGAUGGGGUGGUUUGCUCUGGUUCAGAUGAUGAUCUCUGCGAUGAGGAUUACUGGACUUUGGCAUUUGAUAGACAAUAUCAAUUUGAUUACUCCCAAGCUCUUUUGUUGUCGGCCGAAGUUGAAGCAGAUGCCAUUGCCCCAAGUGUUGAAGCACCAGUACUUGCUCCUGAAGAAGAGGAUAUAGGCACAACGGUCUUGGCGUACAUUGAAACUGAAAGAGGAAACCGUGAUGCUGUAGAAGAUAACCUUUUUGGCAAUGAUUCAAGUGCCUUGUAUGCAAACCAAGAAGGAGGGUAUGAUUCCCCUCACAUGGGUCAACUUCAGGUUUCUGGUUCCCCUGAAGUUGGUGUUAGCCAGGAAGGAGGAGUCACUGAUUCCCCUACAUUUUCUGUUGGAAACGAGGGAGGAGGGGAAUCUUUCCCCGCACUCUCUCUUGGUAACCAACCAAGAGGGGAAUCCUCUUCUGUAUUUGAUGUUGCGCAGGAGGGAGUAACUUUUGAUGAAUUGGAUGGCGACUAUACACAAAGACGUGAUGCUGAACCUGUCAUUGAUGAUGUCUAUUCGCUGGCAAACACAGAUGGGUGUGCAACUGUCUCAGCUGAAGAAGAUGCAAUAUACAUUGGACGCGUGUUCAAAGAUAAGGUGGCUUUUCAAAACACUUUGGCUAUAUAUGCCAUCAAGAGGUUAUUUCAUUUCAGGCAGACUAAAUCUGACCCAGAGCGGGUCAUUUGCGUUUGUAUUGAUAAGCGUUGUCGCUGGAGAGUAUUUGCUCAUAGGGUCUCGGAAUUCUCUGAAAAUUUUGCAGUACGCACAGCUACUCUUACACACACGUGCUCAAUUAUUGCUAGGUCGCAGUAUGAGAAGCAAGCAUCUGCUAGAGUGAUUGCAGAGGUUUUGAAAGGGAAGUAUGCUAACGGAUUGCCUGGGCCACGCGCUGUUGAUAUUCCGGACAUAGUGCUAGCUGAGCUGAAAGUUUCUGUUACAUAUAUGAAGGCAUGGUAUGCAAAGGAGGCUGCUAUUAUGCAAAGUCGUGGAAGUGAUGAAAAGAGCUACAAGCUCCUAGCAGUAUACAUGUACUUGUUGCAGAAAGGGAAUCCAGGGACAAUAUACAGACUUCAAUAUACUGGUGGUGGAUUGGUACCAAAGCAGUUCAAGUACCUUUUCUUUGCUCUUGGAGCAAGUAUUGCUGGUAUUAAGUACAUGAGGAAGGUUGUACUUGUUGAUGGUACUGCUAUAAAGGCAAAGUUUAAGGGAGUGCUUAUCGCUGCUAGCAUGCAAGAUGCUAACUUUCAGGUUUAUCCAAUAGCUUUUGCAAUUGUUGAUGCAGAGAAUGACUUGGCAUGGACCUGGUUCUUCACGAAACUCAGCCAGCUCAUCCCUGAUGCAGAGGAUGUAGUGCUUGUUUCUGAUCGCCACAGGUCUAUAUAUGCAGCUAUUCGGAAAGUGUAUCCGCUGGCCUUUCAUGGGGCAUGUGCUGUUCACAUUGAAAGAAAUGUAAGGGCAAAGAAUCCAGGGACAGGCCUGUCCUACCUUGUUGGUAAUGCUGCCCGUGCAUUUAACGCUGGGGACUUUAAAGAAAUGUAUGCUGAGAUCGUCAAGCAAAGCAAGAAAUGUGCUGCCUAUUUGGAUGCUAUUCCACUUGAACAUUGGACUCAAGCGUAUUGCCCGGCAAAACGCUAUAAUAUUAUGAGCAGUAACAUCGCUGAGGCUCUCAAUGGUGCUCUGGCCAAAAUUGUUGAACUACCAAUUGUUUCUAUGGUAGAGUCAAUUAGGACAAAGUUGAUGGAGUGGUUUUGUUUCAGACGGGAGAAAGCAAAGAAACUUAUUGCUUUGGGAGAGACUAUCACACCUAAGGUGAACGAAUUUCUCUUGCGCCACCACAAGGAUUCUGCAGGUUUACCUGUUAAAGCUGUCUCAGAAUGGAGUUUUCAAGUUAGUUCAGGCUUAAAAAAGUACUAUGUCGACCUAGCUCUUAAGACCUGCACCUGUUUGCAGUUUCAAAAGCUGGAAUUGCCUUGUUGCCAUGCAUUGGCUGCAGCAAGAACAAAGGGAGUCGAAGUUACUAUACUGAUUGGUUCACAUUACAGGCUUUCAGUCUUUCGCGAUGCAUAUGAAAUGUUCAUAUUCCCUGUGCCUAAUGAAAGUGACAUAGAUAUUCCCGUUGAUGUACAAGAAACCGAAUUCAUGCCACCGGAGAACAAAAAUGGUCCAGGGCGUAGAAGGAAGAGGAGGAUCCCUUCCACCGGGGAGUACACGGUAAAACACUGAAUUCGUUGGCAGUAAUGAAAAGAAUUUGACGGGAACUGUAAGUAACUGAUGUUACUUUACUGCAGGGGACGAAGAGGCGCAAGCAUAGACCGCAUAAAUGUACCACAUGCAAUGAAACAGGGCAUAACAGAGCUACUUGCUCUAACAUCCCACGUUAAGGUAUGAAAACUGUGUAGUAAACUAGUUGGCUGUUGUGAAAUUUAUGGAAUUACACAACUAAACUGCAUUUAAAAAACAUGUGGCAGGUGUUGUAAGGGGGAAAAACUUUUUGGGACAUAAGGAGCAACUAGAAUUUGUAGGGGUAACGCUUGUUUUUUGGGUAGGCCAGACAAUGGCCAAGAGACAAAUGGAUUCAGCAGCGAUGGGGGCACCAUCUUUUGGGUUUUCAGUAACAAAUGGCUGAGAAGAAGCCGCUGUAUAGCUAUCCGGUAAGCAGCUCUGGGGAAGAGCCUUCAAUUAACAAGUUGAAGUAUGUGUAGUCAAUGUAUAUAGCAGUGCUGGGUAUAUCCAGUUUGUAAAAUUAAGCUGCUGCUGAUGAAAAACAAUUGAUGUCUCGAUUAACUAGUAAUGAAAAAUGCUUCUUAUGGUGUAUGUGACGAUUUGAUCCAAUAGGCAACUAGAACGCAUAAGAAAUUAACAUCAAGCAAUGUACCUUAAUUUGGAAUAUAUAUUACAUUACUGAAACAGAUAAGCAAAUUACAUUAAGCAAGUUCUCUAGCAUCGGAAUAUAUAUUACAUUACUGAACAAGAGGACCAAAUUGCAGGGAAUUCUGACAAGACUUAACUGGAAACAUACAACAUGGCUGACACCAAGAAGCAAAUUAUAUCACAUAUGUACAUUCAGGAUUUAGCAUAAUUCCUGAAACCGAAUUGCGUACAUGUAAACAAAGCAGCGACGACAGAGAUGAAGGACAGAGUAGUUGUUUAGGAAACAAUGAGGGAGCCCUCCACCAAACCGAAACGAAUUGUUAAAGCGGCCAGCCCUUGGCAAUCUGAAACCUGCAGUUUGUGUUAGCACCAUUUCAGCAAUGUCGACUGCUUCCUCCAUAUUACGCAGGAGACUGAAGAACUGCUCCAUGACAUGCAUACCAGUGUCAAAAGAACCUGAGCAAACCAGAACCAAUCCUAGCGCAAACCUAGCAUACAUACUGUCUACAUAAGCUUCACAGAGGAGUUCAACUGAACGUUCGGAAGGUCCUUCUGCCACCGCAAGGCGUAAGCCUUCGACAAACUGCGCAGCUGGGUUCCCAGAAUCCAAACAACGCAAAAAAAAGGGUCGGAACACAGAAUCUUCAUUACACAGCUGAGUAACAAAGACAAACUCAUCAAUGUCGACAUCCUUAAGAACACUCGCGUCGAAGACAAGAGCCAUGAAUUCAGGUCCUGAAGCUAUCAAAGCGCCUAACUCUCGAAAACCAUGCUGUGAGAGACGCCUGACAAUAUCCAGAAGAAGCGGAUGUGGAAUUAUAUUCAUUGGUGAGAUGUUGGUCUUUCUGAGUUAAUUAAGAAAUUUAAUUUGCAGUUUGGUUAUAUAGAGCAGAGGGAAGCGAGGUUUUGAAAGGAUUUGGUUGUGUAGUGCAGGUGGGUGUUAAGUGUCACAUACUAGCAUUAACUAAUGCAGCUGAAACAGGACUAUAAAGUGGGAAAAAAUAGAGUAAAUAGGUGGUUACGUCUGAGUUUAAGCAAAAGUUUUAAGGGAAUAGCGAAAGGAAGGGAGAGACAUAUUUCAGGCUCCUGUGUAGUCAACUCAUACAGUGCAAGUAAGAGUAGUAAGAAAUAAAAGCGCUGGAUAAGACAUUGGGAGAUGGAAUGAAGAAACAGUACAUCAUAAAGGAGAAUUAAAGAUGGUCAUGGUCCAUAGCAUAAAAACUAACAAAGCAUAAGAUACAUAACACUAAACCAGUAAAGAAAACAUAUCCGGCAACGUCUGUUAAUGCUGCACCGAGUACCAGGACAUCGAGGAAUGUCAUCAUAUCUCCAAGUGUCGCAGUGGGAGCGAAUCUUAACGGGUCGCAUUUGAAGAAUGUGACGAAAGACUUUGCUACCAAUAGCAUCAGCUUCACGAAAUGAACCAAUGGAAGAAACAAAGGUGAUGCGUCACACGGUCACGGAAAUAGCCUUCGGGACGAUGGUACGGUCGGCGAUCGGUACGGACAGGGCCUUCGGUGACGGCGGUUACGGCGGUUACGGCGGUUACGACGGUUACGGGACGGCGAGGGAGGUUGACGAUGAGUAGCUCGAAUCGCCUAGACUCCAAAGAGAUGAUUUGCAAGGGUGGAUAGCGACAACCGGUGAGUAUCUCGAACCGGUGGUGACUGGAGAAGAGGGGUGUGAAGGCGGAACGAGGUAACGAUACACGAGAGAUGGUGGGCUCGUGAUACGGUUACACUUAGAGGCUUUGAAUCCGAUUCAAAGGCUCUAAGGAGCUCUCAAUGUUUUCGCAACAAAUGAGAAAAAGGAAAGAACUGAUUUUUAUUUCAAAAGAAGCUAACCCUUACAAGUGACUUAGAGGGCCUUUAUAUAGGCGUUUACAAGGGAGACUCAUAAAACCCUAAAGCAAACAGUCAAAGCGCGGGUCAACAAGGAUAGACGUGUCAAAAUACAAACCAUAAGACAAGAAGAGCCUAACGGCUUUAUUACGAAAGGAAGGAGAGAUGGCCACGUCAUGCGGAGAUGCGUGGUCAUGCGCUAGCGUACGUUGGCCUCGUUAAAACCCUCUUGGUAAACCACGUGGGAUAAACCCAAGUAGGGAAAAAGAGUACCACGUCCAACUAGUGACUUUGAUGCCUUCACCUAGUGAUGGUGAAGACGGUCCGGACAAGCUCAUGAUCGUCCGGAUGGUCGAGUCCAAUGGGGCCGUAUGGCCGUGGGUCGUGUACUUGGAUGAACUCUUCCGCGAAGGCAUUGCACUUGAUCCUGAGAUUGCGUGCAGCUCCCCUUGACCUUGUGACAGCUCCCGGAAGGAUUUGAGGUACCUUGGUCGCCGGUAGUAUCCCGUGGGUCGUUCCGGGUUGGUCCAUGUUCUGUCCCUCGUCCCGGCCCUCGUCCGGAUCGUUGUCCGUAUGCUGUCCGGUAGGUUGGGUCUCAUUAUCCCCUCCCCCUUGGGAAGGUUCUGACCUCAGAACUCCUUCAUCAUUCCCUACAUCAAAAGGAACCAAAUCAGAAACAUUGAAGGAAGUAGACGUGUUAUACGUACCGGGUAGCUCCAAGCGGUAGGCGUUGUCGUUGAUCCGCUCGAUGACUUGGAAAGGGCCAUCUCCUCUUGGGCUAAGCUUGUCCUUUCUACGUUGUGGGAACCGCUCCGGUCUUAAGUGUAACCAAACCCAAUCUCCCGGCUUGAAAAUCAUGGCCUUGCGGUGUUGGUUGGCUUUUCGCGCGUAUUGCUCGGUUCUUCUUUCUAGAUUUUCCCGGACUUCGGUGUGUAACUUCUUGAUCAGUUCGGCCUUGGCUAAUCCGUCUUGACAUUCUAUCUCAUUGGGUGGUAAGGGUAGCAAACUCGCGGGGGUUAAAGGUUUGAAUCCGUAGGCCACUUCAAAUGGAGACUUCUUCGUUGCCGAAUGAACGGACUGAUUGUAUGCGAACUCCAUAAGGGGAAGUAGCUCUAACCAAGUGCCCGGAUUGCUUGCCACGGUGGUCCGGAUCAAGGCGCCUAAGGUUCGGUUGAUGACCUCCGUUUGACCAUCCGUUUGAGGAUGACACGCGGUUGAGUAUAGUAGCUUAGUUCCCAUCUUUCUCCAUAAGGUCCUCCAAAAGUGACCAAGGAACUUGGGGUCUCGGUCCGACACGAUGCUACGGGGUAUUCCAUGGAGCCUCACAACUUCCCGAAAGAACAAGUUGGCUAAGGCCGUGGCGUCCGAUGUCUUGUUGCAAGGUAUAAAGUGAGCCAUUUUGGAAAAUCGGUCUACUACGACGAAAAUGGAGUCUUUGCGGUAUUGGAUAGGCAAUCCAAGCAAGAAAUCCAUAGAUAAAUCGACCCAUGGUGCAUUCGGAAUCGGUAGGGGCUUGUAGAGGCCAUGUGGCCGUGGGGUGGCCUUGGCGGUACGGCAAGUGAUGCAACGGCCUACGAACUUCUCGACCAUCCGCUUCAUCUUAGGCCAAUAGAAAUGUUCCUUUAAGACUUCCAAAGUCUUAGUAACCCCAAAAUGCCCGGUUAGGCCUCCUCCAUGUGACUCUUGCAUUAGUAGGGUCCUAAUAGAUCCGGCGGGUAUGCAAAGCCUUUUGUCCCGAAAGAGAAACCCGUCUUGGAUGUAGAACCGUGAGUGAAUUCCUUUGCCGUGAUCCCUAUAACUCUCCCCAAACUCCGGAUCUUCUUUGUAAACUUCCUUGAUCCCUUCAAAACCCAAAACCCUUGCCUCCAUGGUUGUGAUCAACGCGUGUCUUCUUGAUAGCGCGUCGGCUACAACAUUUUCUUUGCCCUUCUUGUACUUGAUAACGUAUGGGAAAGCCUCUAUAAACUCUAGCCACUUCGCGUGUCUCUUCUUCAAGUUGGUUUGGCCUCUAAGAUGUUUCAAGGUCUCAUGGUCCGUAUGGAUCACAAAUUCCCUCGGUAGUAGAUAAUGUUGCCAAGUCUCCAUAGCUCGGACCAAAGCGUAUAACUCCUUAUCAUAAGUCGGAUAGUUGAGGGUAGGGCCAUGUAACUUCUCACUAAAGUAGGCCACGGGUUUGCCUCCUUGGGUUAGGACCGCUCCAAUCCCGAUGCCGGACGCAUCACACUCUACUUCAAAGGUCUUCUCAAAACUUGGUAGAACUAGGAGAGGCGCUUGUGUUAAUCUCCUCUUUAGCUCUUGAAAUGACGCUUCUUGACUCGAUCCCCAAGUGAAUUCUUCACUCUUCUUAGUGAUGGCGGUAAGAGGUGCGGCUACAGUGCUAAAGUCCUUGACAAAACGCCGGUAGAAACUUGCUAACCCAUGAAAGCUUCUCACUUGACUAACGGUUGUCGGUGUAGGCCAUUCCUCUAUUGCUCGAAUUUUCUCUUGAUCCACUCUAAGGCCCUGCUCACUCACAACAAAACCUAGAAAAACUAGUUCAUUAGUACCAAAGACACACUUCUUGAAGUUAGCGUAUAGCUUUUCUUCUCGAAGUGUGACCAAGACCAUCUCUAGAUGGACCAAGUGAUCCUCUAGGCUACGGCUAUAGAUUAAAAUAUCAUCAAAAUAGACCACAACAAAUUUAUUAAUGAAAGGUCUAAGGAUGUGAUUCAUUAACCGCAUAAAGGUGGAUGGGGCGUUGGAGAGGCCAAAUGGCAUGACUAGCCAUUCGUAGAGUCCUUGCUUGGUCUUGAAAGCCGUUUUCCAUUCAUCACCCUCUUUCAUUCGGACUUGGUGGUAACCACUCUUGAGGUCAAUCUUGGUGAAAAUAAUGGCUCCAUCCAACUCAUCCAGCAUAUCGUCAAGCCUUGGGAUUGGAUAUCUAUACUUCACGGUUAUGUUGUUGAUGGCUCUACAAUCCACGCACAUUCGCCAUGUUCCAUCUUUCUUAGGUACUAGGAGAACUGGUACGGCACAAGGGCUAAGGCUCUCUCGGACAUAUCCUUGCUUCAUGAGAUCUCCCACUUGCUUCUCUAGUUCUUUAGCUUCGGUUGGGUUGACUCUAUAGGCGGGUCUAUUUGGCAAUUGAGCUCCCGGAAUAAGAUCUAUUUGAUGUUCAAUCCCUCGGAUAGGUGGCAAGCCAUGCGGUAGUUCUUCCGGAAACACAUCUUGAAAACGCUUGAUGAUGGCCUUAAUCUCCUCCGGAAUGUCCUUGCCUUCACAAUCUAUAGUCAAAACAUCUUUAAAGACCAUUAGUAACACUUGGCAAGAGGAGUCACAUAGUGAUCUCCUAACAUCACUAGAAUUAACCAAGAAAUUCGACUUAGAGCUAGGUUCACUAGUCAUUUUCGAUUGCAUUUCAUUGACUUGGGUGGGUGACAAAGGCUUUAAGCAAAUCCGUUUACUAUUAUGGAUAAAAGUAUACUCAUUGGUAAGGCCACAAUGCGAUGUCUUCUUAUCAAAUUGCCAAGGCCGACCCAACAAUAGGUGGCUAGCUUGCAUUGGGACAACAUCGCAUAAGACUUGGUCUUGGUAGGGGCCAACACUAAAAGAAACUAACACUUGUUCCGAGACUUGGAUUACGGAUUUGUUGUUCAACCAUUUAAGCUUAUAAGGUUUGGGAUGGCUUGUGGUAGCCAAAGAAAGUUUCUUGACCAUAUAAGAACUCGCAACAUUGGUGCAAGAGCCCCCAUCUAUGAUCAAGCCACAAACCUUCCCACUUACCAUGCACCGGGUGUGGAAGAUGUUGUCGCGUUGGUUGGAGUCGUCCAUGGCUUGGCUUGUGCUUAGCAUGCGGCGGAUCAUGAGAAGUUCUCCAACUUCCGGUUCGGCAAUGGCUUCCUCGAUCUCGGAGUCAAUGCCUUGGCCUUGUGGGGCGUCGUCUUCGUCUUGGGAUUCAUAGUCUCCGGCGGUGGUGAUGAUCAUGGUGCGUUGGUUGGGGCAGUCUCGGGCAUAAUGUCCUCGGCCUUGACACUUGAAGCAAAUGAUGUCUCGGGUCCUUGAGUCGGAAGGUUGAGGUCUUGGGUCGGGACGGUUGUCUUUGGUGGUCUCUCGGGGCUUGAAUCUUGUGUCGAUACGGGCGGCUUUGGGUUCGGUGGUACCUCGGUUGGUCUUGUCGGCUACUCGGUUGUUUCCAUGAGAUGGUGAGGCGUUGGGCGACCAACUUGGAAGUCCUUGUCCCUUGGUCCGGGUGGUGCUUGCAAUUUUCUUCUUGAUUUGUUGUUCUACUUGGAUGGCUAGGUGCAACAUCUCCUCAAACCCUUGGUAAGAUUGGCGUUCAACCUUCCUUGUGAUCCGGUCAUUCAAUCCGUCUAAGAAUUGGGCCAUCAAAGCCUCUUCGGUCUCUUCUAGUUGUAAACGGUUCCUCAAGUGCUCAAAGUCCUCAUAAUAUUCCUCAACGCUUUUUAUUCCUUGAGUGAGCUUCCUAAAUCGCCGUUGUAGGUCACGGCUAAAGUAUUGGGGAAUGUAUCGGCGUCUCAUGAUGGCCUUCAUUGCGUCCCAAGUGGCCACGGGUCUCUCGUGAUUACGUCGUCGGUCGUCGACGUCGCGGUCCCACCAAGUAAGGGCAUGGUCCGUGAAUUGAGCGGCGGCUAUAAUGACCUUUCGUAUCUCCGGGUAGUUGUAACAAGAGAAAACCUUGUCCAUUCGGCCUUCCCAUUGUAGGUAGGCCUCCGGAUCAACCUUUCCCGCAAAGGUUGGGACGGUAAGCUUGCAGGAGGGUCCGGUGAGAUUAGGACCCAUUGGUCGUUCAUUGUCCCGUCGGUUGUUUCUUCGUCUUGGAUAGUCGGGGUCUUCUUCAUCCGACGUGUGUCCCUCAACUUGACCUUGAUCUUGUUCUUGGUCGUCGACUGGUGGUAGUCUUUGGUCUCGGACCCGUCGUACAAGGGGCACGGGUGGUGGUAUAGCUUGCUCCAAGAGAUAAAGCCGAUCAUCGAUCCGUCCCAUUUGAGCUUGGAUUUGGGUCAGAAUGACUCCAAGGUCGGGUGGAGGAGCGGGUGCCAUAGGUGGGUCUUGUCCGGCCAUAGUACGGAUUCCGGUUCACCGGGAAAUGUCAGACGGCGGCGGGUGGUCGGAAAAUUGGUCGGAGUGAGUAACCGGCGAUGGUAGACUGGUAGAGGUCGGUGGCCGAUGGUCGGUGGUCGAUGGUGCGUAUGGUCGUUGGUCGAAGGUCGAUGGUACGUACGGUUGCUGUCGUGGUCCGUUUGGUCCGUACGGCUAGCGAGGUUUGUUCCACCUGUCCCAAACAAAGAACACGUGCGUUUUAAGGUUGCGAUAUGUUGAUAAGAUGGAAUCAAUUUCAAAAGAGGUGACAGCUCAUGAUUGGAGAGAGAACGGUCAAAAAGCAAAAGAAACAACCUAAGACCAAAACGAAAACGCUAGAGGACAAACGGUACGAAACCGUGUGACCCAAAACGAUACACGUGGUUUCAAGGCCACCAAACUAAAGCGAUAACACUAAGGAACAAAACAACUAAGGAUCUAACAGCCUAACAAGAUGAAAACACGGUGAAAAGCACGAUGAACACGAAGAACACGAAAAAAUCAAAACCGGCUAAAAACGAAAAGCAACUUCAACGAGUGGUUUUCAAGGCCACGAAACAAAAACCCGAAGCAAAACUCAAGCUUUUAACCCAAAGUGAUACUAAAACACAAAAAGACUAAGACUUUCUAAAAGAAACAAGAAGGGAAGGCGAAGAACACAAGGGAAGAAAACCUUUUUUUUUUUUUUUUUUUGAAAUGAAACAACAAUAAACAACACAAAGAGAACUAAGAAGGAUAGAUACAACCUUAGGAACCUUCGGCUCUGAUACCAAAAACUGAUGCGUCACACGGUCACGGAAAUAGCCUUCGGGACGAUGGUACGGUCGGCGAUCGGUACGGACAGGGCCUUCGGUGACGGCGGUUACGGCGGUUACGGCGGUUACGACGGUUACGGGACGGCGAGGGAGGUUGACGAUGAGUAGCUCGAAUCGCCUAGACUCCAAAGAGAUGAUUUGCAAGGGUGGAUAGCGACAACCGGUGAGUAUCUCGAACCGGUGGUGACUGGAGAAGAGGGGUGUGAAGGCGGAACGAGGUAACGACACACGAGAGAUGGUGGGCUCGUGAUACGGUUACACUUAGAGGCUUUGAAUCCGAUUCAAAGGCUCUAAGGAGCUCUCAAUGUUUUCGCAACAAAUGAGAAAAAGGAAAGAACUGAUUUUUAUUUCAAAAGAAGCUAACCCUUACAAGUGACUUAGAGGGCCUUUAUAUAGGCGUUUACAAGGGAGACUCAUAAAACCCUAAAGCAAACAGUCAAAGCGCGGGUCAACAAGGAUAGACGUGUCAAAAUACAAACCAUAAGACAAGAAGAGCCUAACGGCUUUAUUACGAAAGGAAGGAGAGAUGGCCACGUCAUGCGGAGAUGCGUGGUCAUGCGCUAGCGUACGUUGGCCUCGUUAAAACCCUCUUGGUAAACCACGUGGGAUAAACCCAAGUAGGGAAAAAGAGUACCACGUCCAACUAGUGACUUUGAUGCCUUCACCUAGUGAUGGUGAAGACGGUCCGGACAAGCUCAUGAUCGUCCGGAUGGUCGAGUCCAAUGGGGCCGUAUGGCCGUGGGUCGUGUACUUGGAUGAACUCUUCCGCGAAGGCAUUGCACUUGAUCCUGAGAUUGCGUGCAGCUCCCCUUGACCUUGUGACAGCUCCCGGAAGGAUUUGAGGUACCUUGGUCGCCGGUAGUAUCCCGUGGGUCGUUCCGGGUUGGUCCAUGUUCUGUCCCUCGUCCCGGCCCUCGUCCGGAUCGUUGUCCGUAUGCUGUCCGGUAGGUUGGGUCUCAUUAAAAGGAGUCAAUUGUGUCAAGUGACUCCGAGUAAAACCCCAGGCAAACCUGUAGCAAGGCUCGGGAAAACCAAGCAUGAGGUGGAUAGUUGCCUAUGGUGGAUAAGAGUUGUAGAGCGUCUUCUGCACGACCAAGUUUGACGGCAAGCCUAAUGCUUUCAAGAUAGGCUGCAGUUGCAUUGUGAGAGUCUAAACAUUGGCGAAAGAAAGGGCGAUACACCGAAUCUUCAUUUAUAAGGCCAGCAUCUGCUAGGAAGGGUUGUAGGCUUACAUGGUUGAGGACAGUGGAAUGAGUUGCAAGAGAAUAGUAGAAUUUGGAAGUCAGAAGCAUACCCCGGAGAGAUAUAAACGAAUCCGCCCCCACACGUGAAACAAUAUCAAGAGCAGUGUGUAUGUCAAGUUGUUCCAUAGGUGACGCAGGAACAAACAAUGAAAAAUGUGUAACUUAUGUAGGGAAAAAUCUGUAUCAAGUAGAUGGGAAGGCAUUUAUUGUGAUGGAAUUAGUGGGUGAGGAGGUAUGAAAUUAAUGAGCUGAAAUGAAAUUGUAAGUUUGUAGAAGUUAAUAGUUAAAGAAGUAAUGGUGUAUAAUAUCGUAAAGGGAGAAGAAGGUAGUGAUAAGGAAAUCUAGGAAUAAAGUAGCUAAUGUAACAACAACAGAAGGUACCAUAAGGAGAGCAAGUCAGUACAAGUAAUAGAAAGCGCGUUAUUCUUGGUUAACAUGCCGAGAGAUCAAUUAAAAGAUAAGAAAAACAAGUAGAUUAAACGCGGGACACAUAUUCUUCAUACAGAUCAAUGGCGUAGCGCAUUCGAAUGUUGUUAACAGUCUUCUUUGUAAGUUCUUGAAGGUGCGAUGUAAGCUGAUGUGAGUGAAGUUCAAUAAAUUUCAGAGACAUUGGACCACAGUCCCCACCACGGUCAUUCUGUGCGAGACCAAUCAUUCGCGUGAAGGUAAAGCCAGUGGCUGGCCAAGUGGAUGGAACAUCUUCACAAACAGAGCGAAGCAAACAAGGCAGCAUCUGAGCAAUAGGAGCCAUGUAGGAGGCAACCUUUCUAGCAGAGGUGCAAUCUUCAAACGGGUCAAGAAUGUCAAUAUGACCUUUGGGAAGGUCAAUGGCUAUUGCGACCCAAUGCCUCUUACCCCAAUUCAUAGGGAGGUAAAUAAUGUCUACAUCUUUGAGCCACUCCAACUUACAAGUGCGACCGUCAACCAGACCACAAACAUAAGCCGUCAACAGUGGGUGCCAUGCAUAUGUCAGUGUAUUGACGUGUUGGCUGAAAUUGACAAACUUAUUGUCCAUCAUUGAGGUGAACAUGGAGUCGAGGACAGUAAUGCGGCGUGUGGCGAGGAAAGCACCAUGUUUUUGCCAAAGAAAGCUGACAAUGCAGUCAAUGUGCUGUGAUGCAAGAAGUCAUAAAAUGAGAAGAGAUAUAAUAUAUGGGCUAUAAAAUAGAAGUAAGCAAAGUAGACAUGGAAGGUGCAAACUAACCAAGCUGGAAACCCAGUUCUGAGGUUUUGAUAGCUCAGUGAAGAAAGUAGAAGGGUAUGAGUGGCCAUUGAUAGUGUAUGAACUGCAUUGGAAAGAUGUGAGACAUGAGAAAUAAAGAAUAUUACAAAGAAACAUUUAGGUGAUAUAAAAUGAAGAGGUUAAGCACAAACCUCUUGCCCAUUUUAGAGAGCUUGCUGCGAAACUUGGAAACAGUAGCUGAAUUGGGGGUCCCAAGUGUACUUAGAAUGUAUGGAAUCAUUGCUUUGACAUCAGGGUGAUUGACAUUUUUUUUGCUACGCAGGUUCAUAGCAGGUCCACCCAACAGUAGCUGUUUUGUAGGAGGCGCAAUGGGAAGGCGAGGACACCGAUCCGUGACAACAGAAAGACCGGUUGCAGAAGGUACUUGCCCUAACAUGGCAGACACCCCAUCGGUUGCAGGACAUUGCGUAGCAGAUGAACAAGUUUGGCGGGUCACUCUUUGGGAUAUAUUCUUUAGAACGAAGACAGAAGGUUGAACUGGUGUUGGGUGAAUAAAACAUGAUUCCUCCUUAGAAUCAGGUUUACAGGCAUUAAGCUGACAUGCGUUCACCUGCAAAAGAUACAGAAGACAGAGAAGGAUGAUUAAUGUAACUGAGAAACGUGUUUUUGAAGUAGAUAUAAAAUAACCUGUGGCAUGGGUGAAGAAGGAGACAAAUAUGAAGCCAAAUGGGAGGGUAAGGUGGAGGUAUGGCUUCUGUGCUUGGCUGCUUCAUGUAGGAAUGAUGGGCGGCGUUGCUUAAUAUAAGAAAGAAUCAACUGUAAGUAGCGAAAAUGAGCAAAAGUGGCAAGAUCAAAGUGAGACACAGAAAGUAGAGAUAGAAAAAACCUGAACAAGUGGCUUUACAACAGGACAUGGAAGCACAACCGGACUAAUGGACUGAGAACCUGUAACUCCAGGAGCGUGGCUCCCAGUAACAGAGGGAGAAGAAACCUAAAAAAAAAACUGGUAAAAAUUUGGAAAUGUUGUUGUAAUGAAAGGUGCAAGAACCAUAGAAAGUAGGCUUAACCUCAGGAGGUAGAACAUCAGUGUCGAGAUGUUGAAAGUCUGUAAAACCUACAGCCUCCGGAUCCACCAUUGAUUCAAGGCAUUUACCAGGCGAUAAAACAGUAUGCGCAAAACCGACAGCAGGAUGACAGAUAGGUGAAUGUUUGGCAUUACUGGAUGACGAUCUUGUAUUGCUAGCAGAACGCUUGGAGAAUGAUCCCGCAGAUAGUCCAGCACAGCCAGAACGUGUAUUCCGGACAGGCGAAGAAGAUACUGCUGGUGAAACAAUAGAGGACUUGUUGACAGGAGGUACACCGCGCCUAGUACUCUGAUGACUGUGCUGAAUGAGGUGACUAAGCUCAACAAGCAGAGAUGCCUUGAAGCUUUUAAGAUGUUUCUCAAUAAGGGUAUCUGCAUUUCCGCGGAUCUUGACAGAAGAACGGUGGCCAACCCGCUUUUUUUGUUUACAAAAAUCUUCAGGACCCGAACUUGAACUUGCAGACCUGGAAGGAAUGGACUUACGUUUGCGGGAAGAGGUGAGUGACGGCAUAGAUGCAUCACCACCAGACCAGACAUCUUUUGUGAACUGAAACGAUGAUGCAAUAAGUCUCUCCAACUCCUUAACCUUGGGGUCACAAUGUUCAGAUGCUACAAAGGCAGGGUCAGGAUUUUGCGGGUGCAAAACACAAAGCUGCAAAGUAUAAAGAAUAUGAGGUGGUAUAACAGACAGAAAGAAAUAGAAGAAGGAAAUAGUCACAGAAUAAGAACGCACGUUACUCGAAUAUUCAAGACGUAAAAUGUUUGAAGUAUGGAAAGACUUGCACUUAGGGAGAUGAUGAAUGAUUCGGUCAAGGAAAGUAGACUGAUCCUCACCAUUGGGCAGGAUUGUGAGGAGCAAAGGAAUAUAUUUAAGAGCAAACAACUGAAUAGCAAGAGGAAAACCAUGGACAGCGACGGACGAUUGUUUCAGCUUGGCAACUAGCGAGUCUGCGUCUUCAAGAUAGCUUCCAACUUUAACCAUUCUAAGCAUCCUGUGAAAGGAGUGGCGACCCCAUGGGUAUUUGAGAAAGAAGUCUACAUCUUUGACCAUCUCAACAACUUCAGCUGAUGCCUUAACUGGUUGGCUCCGACAAAGCAAAACACCCUCUACAAUAACAAUAAGCGCUAGGCGGAAUUUACGCCAACUUGGCAUAUUUGGCUGAGUCUUCAACCUUUGGAGAAGUGCCUUCACAGUUACAGAACCAAGUUUACCACCAAUUAAAGUAUACCAAUACGGAGCACUACCCUCGGCAUGAGUUGUUGCAGCAUCGAGUUUUUCCUGCGAAGGAAAAGGACAACAUUCCAACCCAGUGGCUUCACGAAAUUCCGAUAGAGAAAAACGCAAAGGCUGACCCCCAAAAACAAACCACAUUUCGUCAGAGUUGGUGGUAUCCAGCUGCCUACAUAACAUCUGAUGGACCAAUUGGCCAGACAAUGAACAUCGCCUGACAGGCAGUAAGAAGAGGGACCCUAGCGGAGAUGCCAAUAAAGUGUCCAACUCAGGCAUUCCAUCGAGGAUAUGUAAAAUAUCAAUCAAGUACUUAGGUUUGGAAUAAGAGUUGAUACGGACUGCAUGACCAGGAUAGCAGUCAGCAGAAAAAACUCUAUCAGGAAGGAGUCCUACAACACCAAAAAGAAAAAGUAAACAACACAGGCAGUGGGUGUAAAUAUAUGAAAAAAACUUUACUAACAACAACUGCAGCUAUAUGAUGAUGAUAACCUUUAAAGCAACAACUUAAUUGAACACAAGAAGGCAACCCUAGUCUCAACAACAGAGGGAAACCAAAAUAGAUGUGUGGCAAGACGGGAAUAAGCAAUAUUUAGGAAAACAUAAGAAACAUGUGAAAUGGGGGAACUAAACCCUAAUCUCCACAGCUGAGGGGAACCCAAACACAGGUGUUUAACGAGUGGCAAGCGUCAGUAGGUGGAAAAUCAUAAAAAAACAUGUGAAAUGGGGGAACUAAACCCUAAUCCCCACAGCUGAGGGGAACCCAAACACAGGUGUUUAACGAGUGGCAAGCGUCAGUAGGUACAAAACCAUAAAAAAACAUGUAAAAUGGGGGAACUAGACCCUAAUCUCCACAGCUGAGGGGAACCCAAACACAGGUCUCUAACAAGUAGGAACCAUGAAGAGAUACAAAAACAUAAGAAAUAUGCAAACCUGGGGCACCGGCGUGAGAUGGUCCAGCUCCAAAUGAAUCCAUUUCAGACGGACAGGACCUGCACAUGCAAUUAAGCUCAGUUUCACCACAGACUAAGGUGUAUGUAUGUCCGGGAACAAUAUAUUUGGCUACCGCGACAGAGAGACUAUCAGAAAGAAAUUAGAAUAAGGACAAAGAAUUUCCAAGAAUUAGAUUCAACAGGCAAACGGCUGUACACAGAAAUUUCGCUUUCGAAGGACUAGAACAUGAUACAGAUUACUUCGAUAAGAACUACCAGCAACCAUAAAAAGGUUGGAAAUGGCGACCGCGGAGAAAAGGUACCACUGGAAUAACUAACCAAUUGCAACGGCGAGAGGAAUUUGGUACAGAGAGCUUCAGAAUGCCCUUUUUUUCUCACGGCCGUCGGAAAUAAAUUUGAAAUCGGAGCAGAGUCUCUGUUUUCUCGAACCUCGGAGAAGAAAGAGUAAAGCAGACGACACAAUAUGACUUCCUAUUAAAUGUUCGAGAAAUUGGAACAGUUACGUGUUGUUCGGUCUUCUCGGGCAGACGAGAGUGGGCAGGCGCAAUAAUGAAAAAGCGAGGGCAAAAUCGUGAAAUCGCAUGAGUAGAAAAGGGUAUAUCCACAAACUGUUCCAAAAAGGUCGAAACCAACAAAUGCCAUCCGGAAAAAUGGCUUUCUCGUAAUUGAUUCUAAAAAUAAAAUUUAGUAGUACAUAUGAAGUAUUUAGCUAUGUUUUGUGAAGUACUUAGCUAUGUUUCUCUAAAAAUGGCAUACUUGUUAUUGUUACCAAAUUUAAUAGCUUCAUAUCAAGUUUAACAUAUGCAAUAUAUUAAAAUGCCACUUGAGUUAUAUAAUUUGUAGUUUUAGAAUGGAUCGUAAUAAUUUUUUUGGAUGUAUUCUUUCCGGAAUAUUUAUUUUUUCAUGGCCUAUUAUUUAUUUUCAUUAUAUUUUCUGACAUUAGGGCCUAUUAUUAAUAUGAUAAAAUACAAAAAAAAAUUGAUGUGUCCCGAUUUUCAAUUGGACCAAAUCAUUAAGCCAGAUCAGAAAUUUGCGUUAAAAUAUGCCAAUCGUCUUAUACCUUCUGUAAUAUAUUUUCAUAUAAAUAAACUUCUCAACCUCCACACUUCUCUCACCCAUCACACAAUCCUCAAAACAGAGUAACCCAAAAAACAGAGCAAUCUCUAAAAAAAGUCUCAAGAAACCUCACUAAAAUGGGUUCAACGGCGGAGACACAAUUAACCCCGGUGCAAGUCACCGACGACGAAGCUGCCCUCUUCGCCAUGCAACUAGCCAGUGCCUCCGUUCUUCCGAUGGCUUUAAAAUCUGCUUUAGAGCUCGACCUUCUUGAGAUCAUGGCCAAGAACGGUUCUCCCAUGUCUCCGACCGAGAUCGCUUCUCAUCUCCCGACCAAAAACCCUGAAGCUCCGGUCAUGCUCGACCGUAUC
rnacentral:lncRNA from 1 species